rnacentral:rRNA from 1 species
UACGUAGGGUGCGAGCGUUGUCCGGAAUUAUUGGGCGUAAAGAGCUCGUAGGCGGUCUGUCGCGUCGAUCGUGAAAACUUGGGGCUUAACCCUGAGCUUGCGGUCGAUACGGGCAUGACUGGAGGUAUGCAGGGGGAGAACGGAAUUCCUGGUGGUAGCGGUGAAAUGCGGCAGAAUAUCAGGAGGAACACCGGUGGCGAAGGCGG